CGGUGCCAAAGCACGUGACACGUACCUACCCCGUGCGCACUUUCUCAAAACCUUCUUUCCUACUUCGUGCACUUUGUCUUGCGCAGACUUGUGUUUGAAUCCCUGUCACCUGUGUGUUGUAGUUGCGUUCAUCUGUGGUUGCUACGUAUUUUUUCUUUUUGCUUGAAAAACUAUGUCCCGCAAAGAUUUCUGCGUACCCCCGAAAAAGGGGAGUUGUCCUAAGGUCACGUAUAAGUAUCAUCGAAACGAGGUCCCUGAUUUCGUGAAGGAGGGAAACUACGUUCGAGCGUAUCAUGGAGCUCCUGCACACGCAGUUCCCAAAAUUGACCAGGAAAAGCGGCUGAUACCUGGACCACGAGACCUUCACGGAGAAAGUGGCGCAAUCUAUGUUACCCCUACCAAGAAGGAAGCAAAGUUGUACGCUCCAGGACGAGGCAGGGUCAUCGAUGUCCUUGUUGAAAAAGGUGCUUACACCGUUCACGAGGGGCACGACUCUCUUAUAAAUGGUACUGCAUACCGUGUUUCUGAUCCAAGUAAGGUAUUCCUGCCAGGACGUGAUUUGAAGAAGUAAUGCAGUUCAGCCAGAGGUCAAGUUUCCUUCAAGUGAAGUGACCUAGUGCCACAUGAUACUUCCCUAGAUUUGUUUCUAUAACAUAACCUGUUACUAACAGUUCAGUAAGACACUGAGUGCUUUGUGUAUUUUCUUUACUAAAUAAAAGUGUUUGACAGCUGUAAA